UACGUAGGGGGCGAGCGUUGUCCGGAUUUAUUGGGCGUAAAGAGCGUGUAGGCGGCCAGGUAGGUCUGCUGUGAAAACUCGAGGCUCAACCUCGAGACGUCGGCGGAAACCAUCUGGCUAGAGUCCGGAAGAGGAGAGUGGGAAUUCUCGGUGUAGCGGUGAAAUGCGCAGAUAUCAGGGGAACACCGGUGGCGAAGGCGCCAACUCUGGGCCGAACGUGGACGCUGAGUAGCGAAAGCGUGGG
rnacentral:rRNA from 1 species